UACAGAGGUCCCAAGCGUUGUUCGGAUUCACUGGGCGUAAAGGGUGCGUAGGUGGUGAGGUAAGUCGGAUGUGAAAUCUCCAGGCUCAACCUGGAAAUGGCAUCGGAAACUACCUUGCUCGAGGUUUGGAGGGGGACUGGAAUACUUGGUGUAGCAGUGAAAUGCGUAGAUAUCAGGAGGAACACCGGUGGCGAAGGCGGGUCUCUGGGCAGUAACUGACGCUGAGGAGCGAGAGCGUGGGGAGCGAACAGG
rnacentral:rRNA from 1 species